rnacentral:lncRNA from 1 species
GUCUUUGAGCAAAUGAAGGUUCUAGUCAUACACCCCAAGCCAAGAUAUCACCUUGAAAACCUAAUGAACCUAUUGUUAUGCUCCUUCCAAAUACACCAACUUCCAAUAAAAAAAAGGUGUCAUAUGCCUUCAGUGAAUUGUUGUUUAAAUUGAUAGAUUGUCAUUUGUGUCAGUAUUCAUAUGUGCUCUCCGACAAGUUAUUUUCAAUGCAUGGCUACUUUCUAGAUUUUCUUGGAGAACCACAUUGUAGCAGGAUAUGAUCUUGAGU